rnacentral:rRNA from 1 species
AACGACUUGGGCGCUGUCUCAACCAUGGACUCGGCGAAAUUGCACUACGAGUAAAGAUGCUCGUUACGCGCGGCAGGACGGAAAGACCCCGGGACCUUUACUACAACUUGGUAUUGGUGUUUGAUUCGACUUGUGUAGGAUAGGUGGGAGACUGUGAAACUUGGACGCCAGUUCAGGUGGAGUCAACGUUGAAAUACCACUCUGGUCGUAUUAGAUGUCUAACCUUGGUCCGUUAUCCGGAUCAGGGACAGUGCCUGGUGGGUAGUUUAACUGGGGCGGUUGCCUCCCAAAAUGUAACGGAGGCGCUCAAAGGUUCCCUCAGCCUGGUUGGCAAUCAGGUAUCGAGUGUAAGUGCACAAGGGAGCUUGACUGUGAGAGUGACAACUCGAGCAGGGACGAAAGUCGGAACUAGUGAUCCGGCGCUGGCAUGUGGAAGCGGCGUCGCUCAACGGAUAAAAAGGUACCCCGGGG